CCUGCUCACUUGAGUAUGUAAUACUGAGCUUGGAAUGGUGCAGAGAAGAUUAACAUGGCCCCUGUUCAAGGAUCACCCACAGAUCCAGGAUGGGUCCCUGUUGAAC
ensembl:snRNA U6 U6 spliceosomal RNA